rnacentral:rRNA from 1 species
CCUACGGGUGGCAGCAGUCGAGAAUCAUUCACAAUGGGGGAAACCCUGAUGGUGCGACGCCGCGUGGGGGAAUGAAGGUCUUCGGAUUGUAAACUCCUGUCAUGUGGGAGCAAAUUAAAAAGAUAGUACCACAAGAGGAAUAGACGGCUAACUCUGUGCCAGCAGCCGCGGUAAUACGGAGGUCUCAAGAGUUGUUCGGAAUCACUGGGCGUAAAGCGGUCGUUGGCUGUUUCGUAAGUCGUGUGUGAAAGGCGCGGGCUCAACCCGCGGACGGCACAUGAUAAUGGGAGUCUAGAGUAAUGUAGGGGUAAGCGGAAUUCUCGGUGUAGCAGUGAAAUGCGUAGAGAUCGAGAGGAACACUCGUGGCGAAGGCGGGUUCCUGAACAUUAACUGACGCUGAGGCACGAAGGCCAGGGGAGCGAAAGGGAUUAGAUACCCGAGUAGUC